rnacentral:rRNA from 1 species
GGCAGCAGUGGGGAAUAUUGGACAAUGGGCGAAAGCCUGAUCCAGCCAUGCCGCGUGCGUGAAGAAGGUCUUCGGGUUGUAAAGCCCUUUUGUUGGGAAAGAAAAGCAUUCGGUUAAUACCCGAUUGUUCUGACGGUACCCAAAGAAUAAGCACCGGCUAACUUCGUGCCAGCAGCCGCG